CCUACGGGAGGCAGCAGUGAGGAAUAUUGGUCAAUGGACGCGAGUCUGAACCAGCCAUGCCGCGUGCAGGAGGAAGGCACUAUGAAUUGUAAACUGCUUUUGUCCGGGGAUAAAGCCCGAGACGUGUAUCCGGUUGAGAGUAUCUGACGAAUAAGGAUCGGCUAACUCCGUGCCAGCAGCCGCGGUAAUACGGAGGAUUCAAGCGUUAUCCGGAUUUCUUGGGUUUAAAGGGUGCGUAGGCGGUUCGAUAAGUUAGCGGUGAAAUCCCGGGGCUCAACUCCGGCACUGCCUCUGAUACUGGCAGGCUAGAGUUGAGGUGCGGUAGGCGGAAUGUACGGUGUAGCGGUGAAAUGCAUAGAGAUCAUACAGAACACCGAUUGCGAAGGCAGCAUGCC
rnacentral:rRNA from 1 species